UGCCAGCCGCCGCGGUAACACGGGGGGCGCAAGCGUUAUUCGGAAUUAUUGGGCGUAAAGGGCGCGCAGGCGGUCUUGUCCGUCAGGUGUGAAAUCCCGGGGCCCAACCCCGGAGGUGCAUUUGAUACUGGUUAUCUAGAGUGCAGGAGAGGAGAGUGGAAUUCCUAGUGUAGCGGUGAAAUGCGUAGAGAUUAGGAAGAACACCAGUGGCGAAGGCGACUCUCUGGACUGUAACUGACGCUGAGACACGCAGGCGUGGGUAGCGAACGGGAUUAGAUA
rnacentral:rRNA from 1 species